rnacentral:rRNA from 1 species
GAUGAACGCUGGCGGCGUGCCUAAUACAUGCAAGUCGAGCGAACAGACGAGGAGCUUGCUCCUCUGACGUUAGCGGCGGAGGGGUGAGUAACACGUGGAUAACCUACCUAUAAGACUGGGAUAACUUCGGGAAACCGGAGCUAAUACCGGAUAAUAUAUUGAACCGCAUGGUUCAAUAGUGAAAGACGGUUUUGCUGUCACUUAUAGAUGGAUCCGCGCCGCAUUAGCUAGUUGGUAAGGUAACGGCUUACCAAGGCAACGAUGCGUAGCCGACGUGAGAGGCUGAUCGCCCACAUGGGAACUGGGCCACGGUCCAGACUCCUGCGGGAGGGCGCAGUAGCGAAUCUUCCGCAAUGGGCGAAAGCAUGACGGAGCAACGCCGCGUGAGUGAUGAAGGUCUUCGGAUCGUAAAACUCUGUUAUUAGGGAAGAACAAAUGUGUACGUAACUAUGCACGUCUUGACGGUACCUAAUCAGAAAGCCCCGGCUAACUACGUG